AUGGGGAACGCGAGCGCCAGGGCGGUGGAGAACGGCCACGCGGCGGCGCCGAUGGAGCAGGUGGCCGUGGGCCCCGUCGGCGGGAGCUCCGCCGAGGCCGCGGCGCCGCCGGACGCCGUGAUGCGGGAGCUCCCUCCUCCGGUCCCCUACGUCUUCGCGCCGCAGGUGAUGAUGAUUUUUUCCUGCCCGAAAUGGUAA
rnacentral:rRNA from 1 species